UGCAGAAUCCCGUGAACCAUCGAGUCUUUGAACGCAAGUUGCGCCCAAAGCCAUUAGGCCGAGGGCACGUCUGCCUGGGCGUCACGC
rnacentral:rRNA from 2 species